rnacentral:rRNA from 1 species
GACGAACGCUGGCGGCGUGCUUAACACAUGCAAGUCGAACGGAAAGGCCCUGCUUUUGUGGGGUGCUCGAGUGGCGAACGGGUGAGUAACACGUGAGUAACCUGCCCUUGACUUUGGGAUAACUUCAGGAAACUGGGGCUAAUACCGGAUAGGAGCUCCUGCUGCAUGGUGGGGGUUGGAAAGUUUCGGCGGGUGGGGAUGGACUCGCGGCUUAUCAGCUUGUUGGUGGGGUAGUGGCUUACCAAGGCUUUGACGGGUAGCCGGCCUGCGAGGGUGACCGGCCACAAUGGGACUGCGAUACGGCCCAGACUCCUACGGGAGGCAGCAGUGGGGAAUAUCGCACAAUGGGCGGAAGCCUGAUGCAGCAACGCCGCGUGCGGGAUGACGGCCUUCGGGUUGUAAACCGCUUUCGCCUGUGACGAAGCGUGAGUGACGGUAAUGGGUAAAGAAGCACCGGCUAACUACGUG